UUUAACUGAAGAGUUUGAUCAUGGCUCAGAUUGAACGCUGGCGGCAGGCUUAACACAUGCAAGUCGAGCGGGCGAGGUUGCUUCGGUAACUGAGCUAGCGGCGGACGGGUGAGUAAUGCUUAGGAAUCUGCCUAUUAGUGGGGGACAACAUUCCGAAAGGAAUGCUAAUACCG
rnacentral:rRNA from 1 species